CAUAUAUAUAUAUAUACAUAUACAUAUGUAUACGUUAUAAUGCAAAGGUCAUAGCUCCCGUGAGAAACGCUCUGCUGCGACCUUCGCACUAAAAAGGAAUGUCUUCUAAGUCGAAAGUGAAGUUCGAUUGGAAAGAGAAACCGGACAGGGAGAAGGGUAUAAGAGAGCAAUUGAGCAAGAAUUUGAAAGAAAAAAAGAAACGAAAAUAAGAUAAAUAAAAUAAAAUCAAAUCUUUGGCUUUAAAUGUUGAGCUGGAGCCGGCGGAGGUGGUGGUUUUUUGUUGUAAAAAGGAGCUGGCGUAUUCGAGUAAGGCUUCCCAUCGGGGGGCAACAG